rnacentral:rRNA from 1 species
UCGCGUUGUAAUCGCGUCGGGACUGUCUGGAAACUGCCUAUGAGGGGGAUAACUACUGGAAACGGUAGCUAAUACCGCAUAACGUCGCAAGACCAAAGAGGGGGACCUUCGGGCCUCUUGCCAUCAGAUGUGCCCAGAUGGGAUUAGCUAGUAGGUGGGGUAACGGCUCACCUAGGCAACGAUCCCUAGCUGGUCUGAGAGGAUGACCAGCCACACUGGAACUGAGACACGGUCCAGACUCCUACGGGAGGCAGCAGUGGGGAAUAUUGCACAAUGGGCGCAAGCCUGAUGCAGCCAUGCCGCGUGUAUGAAAAGGCCUUCGGGUUGAAAGACUUCGCGGGAGAAGGUGUUGGGUUAUACCCACAUUGAGUAACCCAAAAAGACCGCUACUCGGCACACCCGGAAACGAGGGGAGCUAUCGAUAUGGGAAGCCCCGGGGUGCAGCGAUGAUCCCGCCCCGGACGAUAAAGGGGAAUUGAGGGAAAUCGGUGGAAGGAAUGGAACGGGAGGCCGAAUGCUGAAGGGAAAAAACGUCCCAAAUUGGGGACCUCAACCGACCNNACGCGUAUGCUAUAUACGAUGAGAUGGCGGUGGCAAGGCGGCCCCCUGACAAGGAUCUGAGCGCUCAGGUGCGAAACGCGUGGGGAGCAAACAGGAUUAGAUACCCUGGUAGUCCACGCCGUAACGAUGAUUACUAGGUGUGGGGGGACUGACCCCUUCCGUGCCGCAGUUAACGCAAUAAGUAAUCCACCUGGGGAGUACGACCGCAAGGUUGAAACUCAAAGGAAUUGACGGGGGCCCGCACAGCAGUGGAUUAUGUGGUUUAAUUC